UGCUAGUCUAUCACUAUAAGCUGGAGAAAAAGAAACCAACAGGGAUUGCCCCAGUAGCGGCGAGUGAAGCGGCAAGAGCUCAGAUUUGAAAUCGUGUUUCGGCACGAGUUGUAGAGUGUAGGCGGGAGUCUCUGUGGAGCGCGGUGUCCAAGUCCCUUGGAACAGGGUGCCUGAGAGGGUGAGAGCCCCGUAGGGUGCUGCGCGAAGCUUUUGAGGCCCUGCUGACGAGUCGAGUUGUUUGGGAAUGCAGCUCCAAGCGGGUGGUAAAUUCCAUCUAAGGCUAAAUAUUGGCGAGAGACCGAUAGCGAACAAGUACUGUGAAGGAAAGAUGAAAAGCACUUUGAAAAGAGAGUGAAACAGCACGUGAAAUUGUUGAAAGGGAAGGGUAUUGGGCUCGACAUGGGGGGUGCGCACCGCUGUCUCUUGUAGGCGGCGCUCUGGGCGCCCUCUGGGCCAGCAUCGGUUCCUGCUGCGGGAGAAGGGGCUCCGGAAAGUGGCUCUUCGGAGUGUUAUAGCCGGGGCCAGAUGCCGCGUGUGGGGACCGAGGACUGCGGCUUCUGUCUCGGAUGCUGGCAUAACGGCAAUCU
rnacentral:rRNA from 1 species